UACGGAGGGUGCAAGCGUUAUCCGGAUUCACUGGGCUUAAAGGGUGCGUAGGAGGGCAGGUAAGUCAGUGGUGAAAUCUCCGAGCUUAACUUGGAAACUGCCGUUGAUACUAUCUGUCUUGAAUAUUGUGGAGGUGAGCGGAAUAUGUCAUGUAGCGGUGAAAUGCUUAGACAUGACAUAGAACACCAAUUGCGAAGGCAGCUUACUACACAAUGAUUGACGCUGAGGCACGAAAGCGUGGGGAUCAAACAGG
rnacentral:rRNA from 1 species